GACGUAGGGCGCGAGCGUUGUCCGGAAUCAUUGGGCGUAAAGAGCGUGUAGGCGGCCCGGUAAGUCCGCUGUGAAAGUCCAGGGCUCAACCCUGGGAUGCCGGUGGAUACUGUCGGGCUCGAGUCCGGAAGAGGAGUGUGGAAUUCCUGGUGUAGCGGUGAAAUGCGCAGAUAUCAGGAGGAACACCAAUGGCGAAAGGCGCUCUCUGGGACGGUACUGACGCUGAGACGCGAAAGCGUGGGGGAGGCGAACGGG
rnacentral:rRNA from 1 species